rnacentral:tmRNA from 1 species
GGGGAUGAAUUAGUUUAGAUAUUUAAGUAAUCCAUGAAAAUUCAUCAGAAUUUUGUAAUAUUGCUUAGAUAAAACCAUGGGCAGUACAUGGCAUCUCCAUUU